AUUGUUUUUGGGGUGGGAGAGGCCUUGUGUGUUUUGUUUUGCUUUUUUGUUUGGGGGUUUUUCAUUUUGGAAGAAGAUGACAAAACUAAUCUCCCGUUGGUCAUGGUUAAUUAGAGCUUUUAGUUUUCAAACAUUUCUCAGGAGGGAGGGGAACUGAGAUGGCGUGACCGAGGUAGAAGGGAGAGGAGGGUUUCUUCCCUUUCUACAACCAGCCUGGUGAUCAAAAUCAAUUCCAACUGCACUUUGUACAGACAGAAAGUACUAAAGAUUUGAAUUUUUUUUUUUUUUUUAAACACUAGUGAUGAUUCUGUGGGGAAGCCUGCACGGAUUCUGUUAAGGGGAGUGUGUGUGUAAAACAAAGGAAAACUGAAAUACACUGAUAUUAUUAUUAUUAUUAUUACUUUUUUCCACUGCUGCUCCUGGUGUGUAAUUAGCAAGGGUGUCUUUCUCAGAAUCUCUUCUAGGUGGCAAGGUUACCAUACGUAUCUCAUGUUUAUUUCAUCUCUUCCUUUAUUCUUUUAUUACCUCAGGGUUGUUGGGAUCUGUACAGCGUCUGUUGUACUGGGUGUGCUACUGAUAGCACUAGAAACCCAUUGGUUACAAGCAAUGCUAUGCUCCAGUAAGAGUCAGCCCAAAGCCUUACAAAAUUCAGUUGCUAGUUUCUGUCUUAAGCACUGGAUUUUAUUUUUUUUUAUUUUAUUAUUAUUAUUAUUAUUAUUUUUGUUAGAAGGAUUUUAAAGAUGAACAAAAUGACAACUGUAGACAAAUAAGGUGAACAACUAAUAGCUAGCUCAGCUGCUGUGUGAAUUUUUAAAGAGUCCUGUUGGAAUCCAAUUGUGAACUCAAGUGGUGGAUUAUUCUAGCAGCUACUCCUGCCAGUUCUUAUGGUGGGUUGCUCGGGGUUCAGCAGGAGCAACCUUGAAUACCAAACUCCUACAAACGAGUUUUGUUUUCCAUCCUUCUUCUGUUGGAUUCUUUGUUUGGCUAGUCAGCUCUCUGGGUGCUGUGUCUCUGUGGGAGUGUGCCUGCCAUCUGUGUGUGCUGGUGAUGCCUACGACUUCAGCCAUCCGUGAGUUAACCUGGCAAGGGCUAUACUCAACGUGCUUCAGGGCUGUGCAUGGACACUUUCCAUAUUUGUAGUAUAUAAUGCAGCAGUUCAAGUGCAAGUACAGAGAAAUAUUUAUUCAAAGCACAAUUGACUUGAACUUUCACAGAUAAAGGACAGCUUCUGGCUCAAAGGUCAUCGGUGUGCCUUCGAUGCAGUCAUGUGAGCAGAGGUAAAAUGACUGUGACAUCUCAGUCUUGCUGCCUGUUUUAAUAUCUUCACUUUAAACAGACUCGUGCAUUAUAAAGCUGCUUGAAGUGAGAUGUUUCUGUUCAUCUUGAUUUUUAACAUUUGUGUAGUUUUUUAUUUUUUAAGUUUUCAUCUGUGCCUGUUGCCAUAGGAGUUUGUGUGUUUGUAAGGAGCAGGAGUUGGCUGCUGUACAAACUGUUGGACAACCAGAGUAUUAACUGUAGAGUAGAAAGUAGCAAUCCUGAUUCAGUUCAGGAAUGAAGCCAUUUAAAUUUCUCUGUUUAGGUAGCUCUGUGUAGUGAACUAAUUGUUUUUAAGCUGCAUUGAGUCAGGUUUAAGAACUGUUCUAACUUGUUGCAUAACACGAGCGGUCCUGUUUCUCUUACCGUCUGAAGGACUGAGCACUAGAUCAGCUCUGAAGGUGCACCCAAAUGAAGAGGCAUCCUACAGCUUUCAUGGGAAUGUGGAAUUGGACUUGCUGUAUUAAAAUUGGGAUAGAACAUCACGUAAGCCUUGUAACAUAGUGGUAUCUUACAAAUGAGUCUGACAGCUGGUACUAAUCACUUACGACUCACUGUUUUAUUUUUUCCUUUGCAUCACUUAGAAGUGAACUUACAAAGUCAGAAGGGGGAUCGCAGGUUCUUCCCUAAGGGAAAGGCUGAAAAGUGCUUAAGGAGUGGAUGGCACUUCUUCAGUUUCUUGUAAGCUGAAAGCCAGCUGGCAAAACUGUGUGGAAGCAGCAGUUGAACUAGAGAAGGGAUUACAUGUCCUCAUGGAGAGCAGAACUGGGUACAAAGCUGUUCCUCUUCAUGUUGCCUUCAAACCCAGGCUUCCUGCAGUAAUGCUUAGGGGUGUGACAGGGAGAAGAGCUCUCAUAAGACACUGUAUUAGACUGUGUUCUGUGAUUUGUUUGUAAUCUGCAUCUUCCACCUACUCUUGCUGUACCUUUCCAGAAGUCUUUGCAAUAUUUGAUGGUAGAAAUUUGUUAGCAAUCCCAUGGAUUUUUCUUAACUAAAUGGUGCUGUGCAGGAAAAAGAUUCAAGCUCUGCCUUACUCUAAACUUGUAUGAAGUCUCCUGCCACUAGUUUUCUGAAACAAAAAUAUCUCCUUUGGAAUACAUGGCUUUGCAAGCAGAUGCUUUCAAGUUCCUCCCCUGUACUCAAGGGCUGGAUGGAGAUUCUAAGACAAUAAAAAGGAAGGUGACAGAACAUCGUGGUUCACUGUUCUUGCUGUCCCCACUUGUGAACAUUCUCCUGUAAGGGCAGGACUGUAACUUCGGCAGUACUGAAGCAGAUUGGAGUAUUUUUGUAGCACUGACUUGUUUAUUGUGUUUCAGUUUAUUCGAAGAACAUUUCAAAACUGCACGACAUGAAUUACAUUAUCAAAACAGAACUUAAUACAGCUAACCAGCAAAGCAUGCAAACACUACCAGGCUGUAUCAUAAAUUGCACUUAAACCCCAGGAGUUUGUUGAAUGUUCUCAGUCUAUGUGUUCCUUUAUUUGCUCCAAAUCAGUAGUUUUCCCAGAAGUUUUGUUUCUCGUACUGAAUGCAUCUUUAAGACUAUCGACAUCUCUCACUAAAGCAAUCAGACAAUCAAAAACAGAGAGGAGAACAGUAUUCAGUAAGUUUACACUGGAAAAACUGAAGGUAUGAAUUGGAAUACUAUCACAUUUUAGAACCUGCACAAUAAAGUACGUUUUUCUUUUUAAAGAGAAACCUUGUAAUGAUUUCAGCGUCCUUUCAAGCACAUCAGAAAGCAAGUUUUCAUCUGAAUUUCAGCUCCUUACGUCAUUAAGGAUGCAUCAAGUGGUUUAAGAACCUUGUCUUUCAGUGUGAUACUCUGCUUCUCACAGCUGCGCUCUGCUGAAGCUGGUGGGAUAUCUAGAUUUAGAGCCAGGAAAUAUCAGUCCCAUCUUCUGAGAUAGAGUCACAGCAGGGCAUUACUUCUGCUCAAUGUUUCAUAGGCACUUUAUUUAAGGCCCUUUCCUUUCAUAAGACAGAAGGAGAAAGGGGCAGCUUACAAGUACUGAAAUGACAGUGCUGUAUUAUCAGUGGUUCAAGGCAUUGCAGAUGGGAAAGUAACUCACCCCCAAGCACAGAUGUUGAUCCAGCAUGAGGGGAAGAUUACUUUGGCAAACAAAAAAAUACAUUUUUCAAAGUAAAGAGUAUAAAAGUAGCUGUUCUUUCAGCAAGGUGUCUUUUAUGUAGUAUUUACAGUCGCUCACUCUCUGAUAAUACUGCUUAUCCUCUUGUAAUUUUCAGUCUACCUCACAGCAGAGGAAUAAGAGAGCAGGAAUGUGUGUUCACAGGUUUUUGGUGCUCCCACUGUUUCCUUAGACUAUCGCACUCCAUUCAGGAUUCUUCUAAAAGAUCAACUAAAUCCAUGUAAAUGAUGUGAAGGUGGCAGUUCAUACAAUCACUGGCUGUGCAGGUGAGUUUCAGUUACAUUUUCCAUUGUAAGGUUUAUUUAGGUGUAUGAAGCUUUAAAACAAUAUCCUUCUAGAAAAAAACUGCAACAGUUUUGACUUGUGUCUUUUUCAAAGCAGAUGAGAACAGUAUUUUUCUCUAAACUGAUUUAGUGCAAAAUUCCUCACGUCUGUUUACCAAGGCACUUUGAUCAGAUCUGUGAUCAUAAAAGUAGCAAUUAGGAUCAAAUGUUUUGCUCUAACAGUACAGGCCAUCAGAUUUACAAUGCAUCUUGUUUACUGUGAUGUCCCAACCAUCUUAUCUUGAAGGGUGUGCAGUUUAAACAUUAAAUUCCUGUUGCUGAAAUAGCAGUAGAAGCAGUAGAAUUCUUCAUUACCACUCAGUUUUACUAAAUAAAAAUUAAGGGAGCUUAGAUUCUGGCAGAUUGAUUGGAAGUAGUGCUUAGAAAAUGUUCCUGUGCAAAAAUUGUACGUAGAUGUUUUUUGUAUAAUCUUCUACUGUCUCAGUUGAACAUGAAAGCACUGUUACAAGAUUAUCUUCCACAUAACAGAGAUGGCACAGAUCUGAAUAACACUGCAGUAAGAAGAAAAUGUAAGAGUAUCAGAAAAAAAGUGUUGUUACUGCAGGAACAACGGCUGCUACAGCAGACAAACAGCUCAAGGUGCCUGAGCAUUCUUAGCUUUCUUCCUGCUUUUCAAGUGUUUGUGUUUCUUAAAAGCAGAACAGUGUGUAAGAAGGGAUGUUCUGCAGCUGUUUUUCCUUUGGCGCCAACAGGUUUGAAUUCUGUGAGCCAAAACCAGAAGUGCAUUCUGCAAUUCCAGGUCAGAAAUAUUCCUCUUUAUCCACAACUUAGGCCAAACACAUUCUGCAUAAAUAUAUGGUUUCUGAAAGCAAGUUAUACAACCAUGUUAGAUUUAACAUGUGUGCCCUGAAGGAGAAUAGGCAUGUGGCCCUUUGACUAGUAAACAGAAGGUCAGCAUCUGUUUCUUUUCCUCAGUUGCAAGGUAAAACUACAGUGGAGCAACUAUUCUGCUAAAUGCACAGGCAGCUCCUUCUCCUCUCAAUAAAGGGCAAGGUAAGGUACCUAAAGCUGAAGUUCAUAAAACCUGUGCAAGACAAGUUCUGUGGAAGCUUUGAAGGGGGAGCUUUACACAGUCUGAAGAUGAAGGGCUGGGCCCACAAACAGCAAGCUUGAACAAAAAGCCCAGAACAAAGCAAACAAAGCUGCCUUAGCUUGUAGUGAGUAGUAUACUGUCGUUGGGUCAGUGCAAUGGAAAGAUCUCAGCAUCUUAAAGAUAGAAGAAGGGAACGUUUCCAGGGCUGCAAAGUAUGUAAUGAUAAGGUGCCUGGGACGGGUAGUACAGUGCACUCUUAACAAGACAGGAUCUGCUCUGACUUCUUUCUCCCCUUUGUUCAAUGAUGAUGUUUGGCUGCAGUAAAAGAACUCUUCAGAUGAGUUGCAAAGAUGCUGCUCUCUUCAGAAGCCUAAACCAGAAAAAGCCUUAGUCUUGCAGUAGUCCCCUCAUAUCAUAAACAUUCCCUGCUUUUCCUGGAGAACUACCUUCUUCACCAAAUGGAUGUAGAUACUGGUAAGGACUGUGCUUUCUCUACGUUCUGUUACAGUAAGUUCCAUAAAAAGAUUUUAGUCCUCUCUGAGGACAGGAAGGUGCACUUAGCAGUGAUGGGAGAGGACCACUCAGUUGUGCUUUGGCUUUAGACAACGUCUCCCUCUUGCCUCUAAUAUCUGUAGAUAUUAGAUUCUGUCUUGCUGAAAACAAAUGAUGCCCUCCUAGAUUCCAGUCAGGACAGGCUGUCUCCUCAAUCAUUUUCUGAGGAACUGGGAACUUCAGUGCAAGAAAGACAGCCUCUCUCGUGGGGGAUUUUACAUCGUAUUUGCCUCUUACAGUUUGGAUUUGGGAGUAGAUUGGAGCAAGCUCCUCAUGUCUAGCAGUGCUGUUUCAAGAUAAUGUGCCAUGCGAGCUGCAUUUGUUUCAGCACAGCUGUUGAAUGCUGAAAUGGCAAAGUUGAUAUGUUCAUCCAUAGGGUUGUAACAGAUUCCAUAGCCAUCUGGAACCACGGGACCAAAACACAUCACACAGUCUGUCUUUGCUGGGACCUGUGGAGACAAUGUGAUUAAACUUCUAACUACCCAGGCAAAAAUUGCAGCUAUCAAAGGCUAACUAUGUCAACAGUAGAAGAAACUCCUGAAAAUGCUCUAAGGAGAACCUUGUGCUCAGCUCCCCCUGCCAGCACACACAUCUUGGAAUCUGCUGUGUAGUAGCAGUGUGAUUUCUUGUGGCUCUACAAAGGAGAAAACUCUGAUAUCAGCUUCUAAUAAGUCACAAGCAGAACUUGUUCAGUAAGACCCGGAGCACAGCAGAUGGCACCUAACUCCACUUGGUACCAUGUGCAGGUAGGCACCAAACGCUUUUGGUUAUCUCAGCCUUGGUUAUGCUUGUGUUUUAUGGAGUAGAGAAGGCCUGGCAGCUGCAGAUUAGAUCUGCAGUUUUACUGGGGCUGGUAGCAGUUUUAAAAUAUUGUGAAGAGACGAGGGAGAAAUGUGGGGAAGAAACAGUGGUAAUAAAUAUAGACCACUUCCAUCUUUGCUUAAAUGAGUCCUACCUGGCUGGUUGAGAGAUUGAAGUGUGUUGCAACAGCAUAUGCUGUGUCCAUGAACAGUUCAGGCAUGCUCACUAAAUCCUCAAUAGCUUGAAGCUUCAGGCCCAAGAGGUGGCGAUCUAUUGCAUUCCCCCUUAUUGCCUGUAAGGAUGGAAGAGCAGGUGAAAACCUGUCUUGCAGCAAAGUGAGUAACACUAUCACCACUGGGUCAAAAAAAACACGAACAGAAAGUCCACAAAAAAAAACCCCAAACCAACAACAAAAACCUUUCUAAGUAUCUAUACAUCUACAGAGUUAGAAUACUGGACAUUGCCCUUAGUGAGUCAGUCUCAUUUGUAAAGACUGUGAAAAUAAACAUACUGGUGGAACCCACUUUACAGUUCCUGCCAAUGGGCUUUCUCUGGUUUAAGGUGUUUUUUCCUGCAGCUGUGGCAUUAAUCAGAAACCAUGUCAGUGAAAACAGAAGUUUUUUUGCUCUUUGAUUUUUCCUAUCACAAGGGGCUCUUAAACAACUAGUUAAAGAGGAGAAAGCAUUCGGGCAGUAGCAUUAAUGGCCACAUCACUGUGCCACAGAGACAAAGCUCUUUAGGUCUUGGAUUUUUUUGUUUGUUUGUUUUUAUUCAUUUAUUGUGUAAAACCUCAAUGAUGGUUGCACAGAGCUCACUUACCAUAUCUGUGUAUUCCCUGUGGGCCUGGGUAGCUCUCCUCAGCAAGUCGGUUUUCACCUGGUCCUGAAAGGAACACACACAUCUUAAGUUUUUCUACAGAACAGCUAACCUCCUUUCUGUCAUUCCUGUAGGACACGGGUAUUUCUGCCUUGUGUGUCUGUACUAGUGUUAUUUUUAAAAUGAUGUUGUUUGGCUGCGUUAUGUUAUUUCAAGUGGAGUUCUCCAUCCAUCAGUAGUAAAACUUAAGGUGCCUAAGCAAACUAUUAGAAGGGAGUUGAUUCCUUUUGGGAGUAUUAGAAACAUCCACCUGUUGUUUCCCUAGCUUUCAAUCCACUCAAAAAAAAGCUAAAUUAAAUCCAAGGUGAGUAACUGUAUACUCCAGGAUACAUUUUAGCUCAACUUGAUACCAGGUGCAGUUCUGCAAAGCUGAAAAAAGCUGACAUAGCCAAAUAAGCAUCUUUCCCUUAUUUCCUGCUAUGGAGUCCUCUCAUGCUACUCCUCUGAAAUCCUCACCGAUUUGUCAGGGCUGUCCAUGGAUUGCACAAACUUAAGAGACUCAACAGAAGCAGAGCGGAUGGUGUCUGUGCGGCCCAAACGGAACAUCCUCAGUGAGGCGCUCUCGUACGUGGGACAGGCAUGGCCGUACAUCCUGGAGAUGGGGAAGAGUCAAGCUCGUGUAUUUGAUCUGAAGGUGGGGAGGAUGCAAAGCUACCUCCUGAGUUGGUGGUCUUACCUGUAAUACGCUAGCUGCAAGGCCAGCUGGAUGAAAGCAUCAGGACUUAUCUUCUCUGACUUGGGGAAGGCUUUCCCAAAUUGAUGAAAGACCAUCACUUUGAUAUCCAGGUCUUGGACCAUGCUGCAAGGAAAGAGAGAGGAAGCGUUCCUUCACCAACUGCUUGUUUUUGAAACAUAAACGCAUGAACCUGGCUUUCCUGAGGCUGAGAAGGAACAGGCUGCUUGGAUCUACGUAGGGACUGACAGCUCCAUCACAGUCAGGCUUGAUUAGACAUGCAGAAGCUGAGGAAUGGUAGAGCAGGCAGGACUCACGUGUAUUGCACAAUGUGAUCCAGAAUAGCAACGAUGGGUGGACCUUCUGCGGGAGCGUGCUCAUAUACCAGACCACAGGAGCCAUCUUCAGCAAUGAUGAACUAUGAGAGAUCAGGAAGGAAAAUGACUAGUACAUGAAGCACGAGCUAUCCAGAGAGAGGUGUUAGUGCCUCACUGCUCUGGAACAGACUGGACAGUGAACCUAUUCCUGCAUGCUUCAAAGUGCUAGAGAAGCUUUCCUGCAAAAGGUUUCUUGGAUUGCUUGGCCCCUUUCAGUCUCAGGAAGAAGCUCAGACUCAUCUAUUCAGAAUCGUUUGAGAUCAGCACUUACUUGAAGGGUUUUGUCGAACCAUCGGUUCCCACUGUUCCAGCGACUGCCUCCACCGUGCAGCAUCUGAGCGGCCACACGACUCAUGUAGAUGUCCUCAGACACCCGUGGCAUCGGUGCAUCCAGGCAGACAGUGCAAAUGCUCUUCUCAAUUGUACGUACAGAUUCCUUGUUGGUCUUAUCUGGGAGAGAAAAGGAACAAAAAAAAUAAGAAAAGGGAGUUGAAAAGCUUUUGAGUGGAGAGAGACUGGAAUGGAGACUGAAAGAGAAGGUUUGAAGGAGCAGUGUUGGAUCCCUAUGGUACAUCAGUGUAAUAUGUAUUAUUUAGGGAUGUAAAGUGAUAGCAGCUGGGUUAAAGAUGAAUGUAUACAGUUCCUUCCUGUUCUCAGGCUGGAUGGGUCCUGGGCAGCCUGAUGUAGUGGGUGGCAACCAGCCCACAGCAGGGGUUGGAACUGGAUUAUCUGUAAGGUUCCUUCCAACUUAAGCCAUUCUAUGAUUUGCAAUUCUUACAACCCAACAAACUCCAGGAUUUUGGGUCUAAUUCACCAAACUUCAGCUUUCACUCAUGUACCUUCUACAACAGAUGAAGCAACAGUUUGCAAUGAAAUCCGGUUGCUGCUUUGGGGUGGGAAGUUCAUGUACAUGUUUCCAAAAGCUUUCCAAAGGAAAGAAUUGAGCAGAGCACAGCAGUGAGGUUGGUUUUCAAACAUUUGUAGUGUUCGUUAGCACUUGGACGUCAGGGACUGUACACACCUUUCAGAAGGUUGUUGUAAGCUUUUGCCCAGCUGUUUCGGUGGUUGGUGGUGAGGAUUCCAAUAGGUUCUUUGUUUGUUUGGAGGGAGGUGUUCCAGAUCUUCUCCAGCUGAAUAAAGAGCUGGUCGGUGGUAAGGGGGCUGCCAUCACUGUUGUACACAUCCAGCUCAAAGAACUGAAGAUGAGAACAGACAAGGACAUAGGAAAUGGAAGAAGAUCUUAAUUAUCCAGCUGCCAAAAGAAUGAGCAGCCACUGAAGAAGUAAGACUUGAUCAAAGAACUUGAUCAAAGAACAAAAGUUUGAAAGCAGACCUUUGAAAGGCAUUCAGAAUUGACAGACCAACCAAGUCCUACUUUCCUUGCAGGACAUAAAUACAGUCCAGGUUUUAAGAAGGUUGAAAGCCGUGGUAAUGAGGGCCAAAACACAAGGAUUUUCUAUUUCCUAGAUUUGCCUACAGUGGUAGAAUUUGUGACCAAUUUCCAACUUGAGUCCCAGCCUCCUAAGUCUGGGCUUUGAGAGACAGGGGUUGCAGGGACAAGAAAAAGAGGUUUCUGCCUCAUCCCUUGCUUGCACAGGUCUAUCCCAGCUGUUGUUCAGCUAAAGCCAAAGGGAAUAAAGGAAGCAGGAGUGAAUCUCUGCUGAGGGAAACCUUGUGGGCAGAGUUUCUGUUCCAUUUUCUCCAGCAGCACAGCUUACUGAAAGGGACACAUGCAUCUAAACAAACCUCCUUGAAAGUCCAGGAGCUGCUCUUACCUGGAAGUUGUGAACCACUGUGAUGUGUCUGGAUUGCUUCUUGCCCUUGGCGUAGUUGACAAUGGAGUCCCGCUUGGGCCCAGGAAUGCGGCAGGACGAAAGGAUCUGGUAGUACUGGUUCAUGCAGAGGGGCUUCCCACCCAAGUACUCCACUGGGAGGGUCUCACUGAAGAUAUAUCCAGGUAUAGAAGAGAAAAUAUAGCAGUGAGAGGGCCUGCUUUCCUCACACAAGACAGACACAGGACAGCCACUGCGCAGCCACUAUCACCUCCAGCAAAACCUAACCGUGUGUGCUGAUGGUAUAAAAAAGGCUCAUCUUUUCCCAUUCCUGCUGUUAGCUAUCUGCUAAGCUGAAUUAAGAGCCUGAUAAUACUGGGAGAUGUAUUGUUUCCAGUAAAACAGCAGAAGGAAGUUUUCAGCUUUAAUCUAGUGGGCCAGCUAUGAUUCAUCAGCUAAGAGUGAGCCUCAAUGGACCACUUUAGCAGUAUAUUCCCACUACCCUUUCCACGGUUGGCCCCGAGCCUUAGUUGACUUUGGAUGCGAAGGUAUGAUGUUGGUUAUGUGUUGGCAGAUGUUAUUUUGGGAACAUAAAUAAGGUGUAUUCAGUUGGUGCUUAGAAGAGAGGGAGUGGGGAGGAACGAGUUUCUCUAAGGCUAGCUGGAAGAUGAGCAACACCAGAAACCCAAAAGGAGAGAGACAAAUUCCUGCAGCCUGAGCUGUAACUUGUUCUGUGGGCAAACAGAAGUAUGUAACUCCACAAGACUGUCUGGCUCAAUCCCUCUAAACAUGUAUGCAUGCCAACGAGAGCAUUAAGGUAAACAAAGAACAUGAAGAAAGUAAAUUUGUUCUUUAGCAGUGGUAACCCUGACAGCUAGCAGCAAUGCUGAUUACAGUAUCUCUUCAAUAUGUGCUGCUAUCUGUAAGCUUUUUAUUUGGAAGGGACAUUUAUUGACUAGGGUCAGCCUCUCUGUGACAGUAAGGAACACCUGAGAAGUCAGAAAAGUUGCUAACUCACUUGUCAAUCAUGGUCUUGAAAUCCAGGAUGCCCUCGAUCAUCUUUGCAGCAAACCUGGAAAAAUAUCAAAUGUAACAAAUUGAGAUUCCAACACAGAGCACCUGCACUCUGGGGGUGUGAUUUCAGAUUGCUGGAUAGUCCAGCCCUUUAGCACUUAAUUAUUACAUAACAAGGGAAUUCUGGACAACUUUCAAGAUAGGGUGUAGUCUGAAUAUAUAAAUAACCCUCUAAAAGCAGCAUUUUCUACUGCUGUGUGAUGAUUUUUGUCCCAUCCAAGUCUUAGCAUUAAAACAACAUGAAGGGGACUUCUGCCCUUCCCUGGCCAGAGGCCAGCUCUGAGUUUCAAGCUAAGCUGCAGCUGUACAUCUCUGUAUUGAGGACUCAUCAAUGCUGAUCUAGCUCCUAUCUGCUUCAUGUUCUGCUGCUCAUGCAGCCCUAAGAGCACUCCUUUGGCAAUGAAGGAUCCGAAACAAAUGCAGGCAUGCUGCAUACUGACACUGAGGUGUUGUGCUCACUAGGAUCAACAGAAACAGUUCGUAGUGACCAGCCACAUCAAACUGCUUUGCUUGGGAGUGACAAGUUGGCCUUUUCUGACCUGGGAGCUCUGAACCAUGCAUGAGAGGAAAGGGGCAGGAGGUCACUGUGACAAGAGGUUGCAGUCGGCUGAACUUCAAAGGCUUUAAAGUAGUAGCAGCAUUUGGCAUCUGCAUGCAGUGUCAUCCAGAUUUGCUCAACCUCCCCAUCCCUAGUAAAAAUCAAAGUGACUCCAAGAACCUAAGGGCUGUUAAACAAACACAGCACGUGUCUUCCAAGGUAGUUUUCAGUGAAAAUUUCCCAGCCUUACUGAAAAAUCUGAGGAAGUAAAACAGCCAAGAAACAGAAGUCAGGGAGUCAUUUCUGAGAGGAAACAGCCUGGGAGCAGAGUUAGAGCUUCAGGGGAAGAGCUUUGUUAGCUGACUUGUUUCCAGUCUCUUUUGACAGACCGAGGACUAAAGAACACUUUCUAAACUUGCUUUCUGAUUUCUGAAGCUUCAGUGUCAAGCUACGCCAUCAAACUUCUUUAUGCAGUCACAAAAUAGACACUUUGAACUGUAUUUUCAAGGGUAGCCCAGAUUAUCGUGUGGCUGCUCAGUUCCCUGGGUUGGAACAGUGGUAGUUCUCCAAGUCUUAUCUGCUAUCCACACAAAAGUGAAUACAAGCAAAACUUUUCAGAGGUGUUUGUGUAA